rnacentral:lncRNA from 1 species
UACCAAUAUUCCAGUUAAUACUUUAUUAUAAAAUUGACACAUUCUGCAGUUGUUUAUUUUACUUUCUUCCCAACACCCCUUUUCCUGUAAAUCAUCCUUUUGUCCUUCCCAUGUUCCCAACAGAUUCAGUGACCCCAAACCAAGUAUUUUGACCUUCUGCCUGGACAAGAUAUUACAUAAACUGCCAAACAACAUGGAUAAGGGCAGUCUCUCCCUGCUGAUCCUCCUAUGGGGAUGCCAGUGAGAGCUCUCUGCUGUACCUGGCCACUGAUCCCUGCCUAUAGGAGCCUGUUCAUCUCUGAUUCCCCUAAGAGCUUGUUAAAUUUGAUUGAAAUGAGCCAGUUGGUUACUCUGUGACAAAUGGGGGGCUGACAGUGGGAUAAAAAAGCCUAAUUUCCUCAAGCAACUAGAGAAAAAAAAACCCUUUGUGAGCUUGUCAAAAGUAGAUCAUGAAAUUAAUCCCCAAAUUUUAAAAUACAUAUUUUUUAAAAAUCAAAUAGAGUAUCUAAACUGUCUUCUGAUUUUGAAACUUCUGGGGAGAAGUGGACAUUCUUAGGUGGUGAAUCAUCCAACCUGUUUUAGUGUCGACCUUAGGAGUAGGUGAAUCAUGCUCUAGAAAUGCUUCUUCAAUAUUUGAAUAAGGGGCUCUUCUUAUUUUGUUUCACGGCUUAUUCUCAGUUUGUUAUUACUUAAAAUAUUUUUAAAUUAUUUUUGGUUUUAAUACAGAGUUAAUCUUCGCUCAAGAUGAGGAUGGGCUGAUAAUACAUCUUUCUCUGAGAGCUGUGGUUUCAAAAAUUCAGCAGUUUCACUCCUGUGAUUUUGCAGUUUGUCUUCUGGAAGGGAUGUGUGGAAUAGAAACAAUGAAGAAGUAAGACCAAAGAAGACAGAAGCCCAGAGGCAAAAAAGACUCCAAACCUGCCUGCAGAGGAGCUUGACAGAGAAGAGGCUGUGCAUGGACAGUGGUACUGAUGACAAAUCCCCUUUGGUCCCUUUGGCUGUUCAGCCAUUAAUCUUUGGGAAAAGUGAGUGGCAGGAGCCUUUGCUGGAAGUGGCUGUGGGGCACAGCAAGCCUUGGCCAGGAGGAGCAGAAGAUAUUUUGCCGACUGAGUCAUGGUAUUAAAUGUGCUUUUUACAGUGAAAUUCAUUGUAAGAGUGAAGCAGGUCAUUGGUAUUUAAUCUGAACCAGAGUUGUGCAACUUCAAGUGACUCUGCAGGAGAUGGGUUCCCGUGAUAGGUUCCUCAUCCAGGGCUAUGAAGCUCUUCCAGGCCAAACAUGUCCUUGUGGUUGUGCCUUUUCUUUCAUUUCUUCUUGCUUACGUAGAAAACCUGUAUGUGUAACAAUUUGAAAGGCUUUUAAAAUUUCUUAAAUAAAAUUAUUCAUUGAUAAGUAAGUGCCUCA